rnacentral:rRNA from 1 species
ACGAACGCUGGCGGCAUGCCUAACACAUGCAAGUCGAACGAGACCUUCGGGUCUAGUGGCGCACGGGUGCGUAACGCGCGGGAACCUGCCCUUAGGUUCGGAAUAACUCCCCGAAAGGGGUGCUAAUACCGGAUAAUGUCUUCGGACCAAAGAUUUAUCGCCUUUGGAUGGGCCCGCGUUGGAUUAGCUAGUUGGUAGGGUAAAAGCCUACCAAGGCGACGAUCCAUAGCUGGUCUGAGAGGAUGAUCAGCCACACUGGGACUGAGACACGGCCCAGACUCCUACGGGAGGCAGCAGUGGGGAAUAUUGGACAAUGGGCGAAAGCCUGAUCCAGCAAUGCCGCGUGAGUGAUGAAGGCCUUAGGGUUGUAAAGCUCUUUUACCCGGGAUGAUAAUGACAGUACCGGGAGAAUAAGCUCCGGCUAACUCCGUG